AAAGCCAGUCUUCCAGCAGGUCGCUCUUGUGCUCCACCAAGCUGUAUGCGCCUGCCUCCCAGUCCUUGUGUCCCUCCUACCCCCGCCCACCCCCGAAUUCCUUUCCAGGGCAGAGCCCCUUUGGAGAACUUCUUACCAGUCAGUACACUUACCUUUACUGGGCCUGAGAGGAGGCACCCAGCAGAGGCGAGUGUGUCCACUGAGGUCAUCACUGAGCCCUUCUCUGCAGUCAAAGUGAAAGGUCAUCAUGCAGGGCCCACGGGCAGAAACCUGAAGCCGUGCACUGUGGAGAGGGAGGCUCCAUUGCCCCUGAAGUGGUGGUCAUCCAACACACGAGGACUGAUUCACAAGUCACAUCUACACUCACCACACCAGCAGAGGGGAACGCUUGGGUCAGUUGGACAAUGACCACGGGAGAGCAAACUGGAACCAGAGCACGG
ensembl:lncRNA